AUUUCUUUAUUAAUUUUUAAUAAAUAAUUUAUAUUAAAUAUAAAAAUAUAUUUAUAAAAAAAAAAGACGACAAGACCCUAUUAAAUUUUACUUAUAGUUUAGCUGGGGAAGCUUUUCAAUUAAAAUUUUUUAAAUUAAAUAAAUAAAAAUCUAAUAAAAUUAAAAUUUUAAUAAAUUACUAUAGGGAUAACAGCAUUAUAUUUUUUUAAAGUUCAUAUUAAAAAAAAUGAUUGUGACCUCGAUGUUGAAUUAUAUUUUCUAUAUUUAAUGCAAUAAUUAUAAAAGUAGAUCUGUUCGAUCUUUAAAAUAUUACAUGAUUUGAGUUCAAACCGGKGUAAACCAGGUUGGUUUUUAUCUUUUUAUAUAUUUUUCUAGUACGAAAGGACAAAAAAAUUUUUAUUUUAAUAAAUUAGCAAAUAAAUGCAUUAGAUUUAGAAUCUAAUUAUAUUUAAUAAUU
rnacentral:misc_RNA from 1 species